rnacentral:rRNA from 1 species
UAUNGCACAAUGGGCGCAAGCCUGAUGCAGCNAUGCCGCGUGUAUGCAGAAGGCCUUCGGUUUGUAAAGUACUUUCAGCGGGGAGGACGGCGGUGAGGCUAAUAACCUUGCCGAUUGACGUUACCCGCAGAAGAAGCACCGGCUAACUCCGUGCCAGCAGCCGCGGUAAUACGGUGGGUGCAAGCGUUAAUCGGAAUUACUGGGCGUAAAGCGCACGCAGGCGGUCUGUUAAGUCAGAUGUGAAAUCCCCGGGCUUAACCUGGGAACUGCAUUUGAAACUGGCAGGCUUGAGUCUCGUAGAGGGGGGUAGAAUUCCAGGUGUAGCGGUGAAAUGCGCAGAGAUCUGGAGGAAUACCGGUGGCGAAGGCGGCCCCCUGGACGAAGACUGACGCUCAGGUGCGAAAGCGUGGGGAGCAAACAG